CAGGACUGAGACUGGCCGGGAAACUCGCGCCAUGAUCGAUGGAUUCUAGCGAAAGAGAGCGUCGUAAGAGAAAACCUCAAAAGGAAACAAGUUCUCUUCCACCAAAAGAUGGACAUUUUGAUUUCGAACAAAAUCCAAAUACAGUACUCACAUAGUAGUGACCUCCAUUACUCACCCUGUUAAAUAUCAAGAUGCAGUCCAUGACGAUCAUCAGAUUCAUAGGAGACGAAUCGCCAACAACAGUCACAGUGGAGAAACUCAACUGCUUUAAGUGCCUGCAGAAGACCACUGUGAAAGACCUGUCAAACCAUAAUAUGGAUUAAAAGUAUUACAGACACAAUUUGAGUCCACUGUACAGGAUUUCCAUGGAUUUUAUUUCAACUGUCUCAACGUAAUGUCAGAGGCUUUAUAACAUUCAAAAUCAGACGUCUGCAAGAGCAUGAAAUAGAGGCUCGAACCUGAAAUUGGAUGACAUUACCAAGCCCAAGUGAUACUGGCAAAUCUGAAACCUGAAGCCGAAAUUUUUACUCUGUUCACCUCUCUGAGGAGUAGAAACCCAAGCACACACGGUAAAGGAUUCUGGUCAAGUGUGAACCUGUGAAGGACUGAAGCCAUGUCCAGGGUUGCUACCAGCCUUGUACUCAGUGCUGCUUGGAUAGGCUUCAGCCUCCUGUGUUACUGAAUAAGAUCAAACAGCUGAAAAUGAAUAAAUGAUUCCGAACAAUCGAGUACAUUAUUCACUAUAGAUUUUAGAGAAAAGUUCAUCAUUCCGUCUUGCAAAAUACUUGAAUAUAUAUUACUUGUCAAUUUUGCAAGUAAAAACAAAUAGGUGCACACAUCUAUACCUCACAAGUACAGUAUAGUUGGUUUACAAUUAGUAGAGUCCAAGGAGACAAAAUUUAUGAAGGGAGUUCUGGACACAAAUUAAAAAAAAAAAAAAAGCAGAACAUGACUCCGAGUUCAGUUUAUGUACUUUUCAUAACUUCAGGGGAAAAAAAAAAGUUUUGCUUUAUAUGUAGAGGACAGAGCAGGGGUUCGAAUCUUGAGUACGCACUAACGUAAAUUAGCAUAAUGUGAACAAAAAGACCCAAGGCAUUACCAGUUUUAAAAUUUAUUUAUGAAGUUUAUUUUAAUUGUAAUUUAAA